CAAUACAGGGGAUGGUGCAGUUUAAUCAAAUCAAUUUGGAAAAUGCCCUAUACUCACUCCCUGUCUUAAAGGAUCACAGUGCCUGUUAGGGAAUCAAAGGCACUGAAACAUCCUGCAGUAAAGAAAGCUAUUUAAAUUUGCUUAACCGAUUGCUUCUCAAACCUUUUGGACUUUGGAACACCCCCUAUUGAUGAAUACUUCACAGAACACACUUGGAAGGUGCCACUGGGGUGAAGCCUCCUGUAGGACUGGGUGUUUGCUUCCAGGUGGAAGGGUAGAAAGGAAGAAGGGGAUCUCUCAGGCAGAAGAUGGCAAAUACAUACAGAAAAGCAUACAUUUCUAUGUGAUUGUAUAAUGAGAUUUCACGUCCGCUAUCACCUGAGAGGAGGGAUCGACAAGAUGGCCUCAAAGACUCCAUGGAAAUCUCACAUCCUGAUUCCUUGUUUUUCAGAACAUGCUAGAGGAAGUUUAGAAAAGAACUGCUUUUUAUUCAGAGAAAUUUAGGGCCAAGUCGGCC